rnacentral:piRNA from 1 species
UGAGCUGAGCAAAAGUAGCCAUCCUCUGCAG